CGACUUCUGUUCUUUGUGCAACGCCUUGUUCCUGAAGACGAAGAGGUAGUCCAAUAUAAGACACAAGACUGCACAGGCUUACGCUACAAAGGUGGAGAGGACGAGCAGUGUUUUCGUAGAAGGAAAUCUUUUGUUUUAGUAACGUCCAUAGAAGAACAAUUACGGAGUCUGCUUGAGAAAAAGGACAUUUGGAAAGACAUUGUGAAAAAUUUGAGCAGCAAUAGGUGUGACAUUCGAAAUGGCAACUGCUACAAGGAG